rnacentral:rRNA from 1 species
UACGGAGGGUGCGAGCGUUAAUCGGAAUUACUGGGCGUAAAGCGCACGCAGGCGGUUUGUUAAGCUAGAUGUGAAAGCCCCGGGCUCAACCUGGGAUGGUCAUUUAGAACUGGCAGACUAGAGUCUUGGAGAGGGGAGUGGAAUUCCAGGUGUAGCGGUGAAAUGCGUAGAUAUCUGGAGGAACAUCAGUGGCGAAGGCGGCUCACUGGCUCGAUACUGACGCUGAGGUACGAAAGUGU